rnacentral:misc_RNA from 1 species
GAUGAAGAACGCAGCGAAAUGCGAUAAGUAAUGUGAAUUGCAGAAUUCAGUGAACCAUCGAAUCUUUGAACGCACAUUGCGCCCCCUGGUAUUCCGGGGGGCAUGCCUGUCCGAGCGUCAUUGCUGCCCUCAAGCACGGCUUGUGUGUUGGGCCCCGUCCUCCGAUCCCGGGGGACGGGCCCGAAAGGCAGCGGCGGCACCGCGUCCGGUCCUCGAGCGUAUGGGGCUUUGUCACCCGCUCUGUAGGCCCGGCCGGCGCUUGCCGAUCAACCCAAAUUUUUAUCCAGGUUGACCUCGGAUCAGGUAGGGAUACCCGCUGAACUUAAGCAUAUCAAUAAGCGGAGGA